rnacentral:rRNA from 1 species
GAGUGUUGGGUUAAGUCCCGCAACGAGCGCAACCCUAUUGUUAGUUGCCAUCAUUCAGUUGGGCACUCUAGCGAGACUGCCGGUAAUAAACCGGAGGAAGGUGGGAUGACGUCAAAUCAUCAUGCCCCUUAUGACCUGGGCUACACACGUGCUACAAUGGUUGGUACAACGAGUUGCGAGUCGGUGACGGCGAGCUAAUCUCUUAAAGCCAAAUCUCAGUUCGGAUUGUAGGCUGCAACUCGCCUACAUGAAGUCGGAAUCGCUAGUAAUCGCGGAUCAGCACGCCGCGGUGAAUACGUUCCCGGGCCUU